UACAGAGGGUGCGAGCGUUAAUCGGAAUUACUGGGCGUAAAGCGUGACGUAGACGGUCAUGUAAGUCCGAUGUGAAAUCCCCGGGACCGUCAACCUGGGAACCUGGCGUUGGAAAGCUACGAGGCUGGAGUACGGCAGAGGGGGGUGGAAUUCCACGUGUAGCAGUGAAAUGCGUAGAUAUGCGGAGGAACACCGAUGGCGAAGGCAAUCCCCUGGGCCUGCACUGACGCUCAUGCACGAAAGCGUGGGGAGCAAACAGG
rnacentral:rRNA from 1 species